rnacentral:piRNA from 1 species
UCCAUGGUUGAAACGAAAUGUUAUGCUC